UACGAAGGGGGCUAGCGUUGCUCGGAAUCACUGGGCGUAAAGGGUGCGUAGGCGGCCAUUCAAGUCAGGGGUGAAAGCCUGUGGCUCAACCACAGAAUUGCCUUUGAUACUGUUUGGCUAGAGACCGGAAGAGGUAAGUGGAACUGCGAGUGUAGAGGUGAAAUUCGUAGAUAUUCGCAAGAACACCAGUGGCGAAGGCGGCUUACUGGUCCGGUUCUGACGCUGAGGCGCGAAAGCGUGGGGAGC
rnacentral:rRNA from 1 species